rnacentral:rRNA from 1 species
GACGAACGCUGGCGGCGUGCCUAAUACAUGCAAGUCGAACGCUGAAGAGAGGAGCUUGCUCUUCUUGGAUGAGUUGCGAACGGGUGAGUAACGCGUAGGUAACCUGCCUUGUAGCGGGGGAUAACUAUUGGAAACGAUAGCUAAUACCGCAUAACAAUGGAUGACACAUGUCAUUUAUUUGAAAGGGGCAAUUGCUCCACUACAAGAUGGACCUGCGUUGUAUUAGCUAGUAGGUGAGGUAACGGCUCACCUAGGCGACGAUACAUAGCCGACCUGAGAGGGUGAUCGGCCACACUGGGACUGGGACACGGCCCAGACUCCUACGGGAGGCAGCAGUAGGGAAUCUUCGGCAAUGGGGGCAACCCUGACCGAGCAACGCCGCGGGAGUGAAGAAGGGUUUCGGAUCGGAAAGCUCUGUUGUAAGUCAAGAACGAGUGUGAGAGUGGAAAGUUCACACUGUGACGGUAGCUUACCAGAAAGGGACGGCUAACUACGUG